rnacentral:rRNA from 1 species
UACGUAGGGCGCAAGCGUUGUCCGGAAUUAUUGGGCGUAAAGAGCUCGUAGGCGGUCUGUCGCGUCUGCUGUGAAAUCCCGAGGCUCAACCUCGGGCUUGCAGUGGGUACGGGCAGGCUAGAGUGCGGUAGGGGGAGAAUGGAACUCCUGGUGUAGCGGUGGAAUGCGCAGAUAUCAGGAGACACCGAUGGCGAAGGCAGGUCACUGGGCCGCAACUGACGCUGAGGAGCGAAAGCAUGGGGGAGCGAA